UGGGCACCCCAUCAUCCUUCAACCUGGCACUUUGACAGGUCUUUAGGGGGAGUCCUUUGGGCCCCAUCUCAACCUCUUUCAUUACAGCAGAAUCUAAGGAUCUGGCCAGCCACCUGCAAUAUUCCUUGCAGUGUAUUGGAGAGUUGGAGUGGGCUCUCUGUGCUGUGUCUCCAUGCAGCAGCAGGAGGAGGACAGGAUGGAGGAGGACAUCUGGACAGUGAGGAGGAGGAGGUGCCUUAGCCCCUUCCGAGCAUCCUGGAGGACCUGGAGAGCCGGGAGGCCAUGAAUAGAAUGAAUAUGAUAUUAAUCAUACUUCGAAUUGUGGCCAUGAUGGAGUACCUGUAUUGAUGAUGGUCUCCCAGCAUAAACAACUACAAAGCUGGACAAAGUACAUGAAGAAAUUGUCUUCAGCCAUUGGGCAAUAGGCAGUUCCAGGUACAAUCUGAGAGAAGGGAAUCACAUGAAGUUACUGCUACAUUUUUCUGGUGGGGAAAGUUUCAAAACCCUCAAUGACAGCACGAGGAAGCAGAGUCCAGGCAAAGGAUCAGUCUUGUUUGGUGGAGGAAACGGAGACUGCUGCUCAGGGCUGCUAAAAUGUGUGUGGCAGGGUAUCAGAAAGGAUGGAGUUGCAGAGAAGGAGCCCCAGAAAUCUUAUAGAGGUUGCUGCAGGUCCUUGGCCAAAUCCCAAACUAUGAAUGUGUGGAUUGAGACUCUGCAAGGCCUAGCACAGAACAGCCGAUGGGGAGCUGAGAGCUAAACAGCGAUUUCAGUGGUCACAGAGUGCUGGAAACACAUCUGAAUUCUGGCUCAGCCAGCAUCUCCACUCUUGGAAUCUCAGGACUUGAUGAAUAUCCCAGACAUUCACAGGAGGGCCUAGAAGGCCAUGCCUUGGGAUUAAGGAAGAUUCUCUAGGAAUAAGGUCAAAACUAAAAACCAGCUCACGCUAACAAAACCUAAAAUGUAGCCUUGACACACGUGAUCAAGUUAACCCAUCAGUAAUUUAAUUCCCUGCCAAAAUAAAACUCAACACUGGAGUAGGAUAACAUAACCCACAUCUCUACAAUGAAGGUUCACAAUGUCCAACAGCUCAAGAAAUACUUAGAAGACAUGAGAAAAAGUGAGAAAAUAUAUCCUACAAUUAAGAGAAAACCAGUCAAUACGAACUGACCCACUGUGCAUGGUGGCUCACGCCUGUAAUCCCAGCAAUUUGGGAGGCCAAGGCAGGUAGAUCACUUGAGCUCAAGACUUUGAGAUCAGCCUGGGCUACAUGGCAAAACCCCAUCUCUACUAAAAAUUCAAAACUGAGUUGGGUGUGGGGGUGUGCAGGGGCCCAUAACCCCCAGGCUGUGGACUGUACCCGUCGGUGACCUGGUAGGAACCAGGCUGCGCAGCAGGAAGUGAGUGGUGGACAGCGAGCAUUACUGCCUGAGCUCCGCCCCCCGUCAGAUCAGCAGGCAUUAGAUU
rnacentral:lncRNA from 1 species